AUGCGCGUGGUGUAGAACACGGAAUAUGGCGGCCUGCAUCUGAUGGCAAAUGAAGGAUCUGACGCGAAUACCUUCUCGAAACUGUAACCACAUCGGAACUACAUCUACGUUACUAAGUCUUUGGCCGUGCUGUGUUCUUACCGUGGAGCUCAGCACCGCGUCGGUAGUGGCACAUUGACCAGUCUGUGGUCUCCUCACCUGGCACCUGGUGGUACCAUCGGUCACAAUGGGCCGAACACUUCAGAAAGAGCCAAAAGAAGAGAGGAGGGAGAAACCUGAGAGAAGUAACCCCUCUCCGGGAACCGGCCCCCCCUCUCUGGAUAAAUCUAAUGAACCCUUCAGUUGGGAGGAGUACCUUAAGGAAACGUCAUCCACAGCCGCUUCUCCCAGCUGUUUCAGACAGGUAGAUAUGACCCAGUAACUACA